rnacentral:rRNA from 1 species
UGCCUCAGUACGGCGAGUGAGCGGCAAAGCUCAAUUUGAAUCUAGUACCUUCGGUGCUACGAGUUGUAAUUUGAAGGUAGUUUUCUGGUGCUGGCCCUUGUCUAUGUUCCUUGGAACAGGACGUCAUAGAGGGUGAGAAUCCCGUCUGAUGGGGUGUCCAGUGCUUUGUAGAUUUCUACCGAAGAGUCGAGUUGUUUGGGAAUGCAGCUCUAAGUGGGUGGUAAAUUCCAUCUAAAGCUAAAUACUGGCGAGAGACCGAUAGCGAACAAGUACAGUGAUGGAAAGAUGAAAAGAACUUUGAAAAAGAGAGUGAAAAAGUACGUGAAAUUGUUGAAAGGGAAGGGUAUUGGAUCAGACUUGGUG